AGCCGACUCAUUCUGCUAUUACGAUGUUUUCCUUCUGUGGGGAGAGAUACCAGACAAUUUUAGAUUAUCUGGGGGGAAAAGCUGGGCUCAGUCCUGAGACUUGGCAUUCACAGAAGACUCGUGUUGUUGUGUAGCAACGCCAUCCAGAGUGUCAGCCAAGUUGUGUCAUAUGGUUACAAAACCGUCCCCAUCUUCCAGAUCUUCUCCGUAAGUGUGGAUCCUCCCAGAAGUCUGCUCCUCCUGCCCUGGGAUGACCUUAUAUUCUCUCAGAUGAAGCCAGAACCUGA
rnacentral:lncRNA from 1 species